ACGGGAGGCAGCAGUGGGGAAUAUUGGGCAAUGGGGGAAACCCUGACCGAGCAACGCCGCGUGAAGGAAGAAGGCUUUCGGGUUGUAAACUUCCUUUACCAGGGACGAAGAACGUGACGGUACCUGGAGAAAAAGCCACGGCUAACUACGUGCCAGCAGCCGCGGUAAUACGUAGGUGGCAAGCGUUAUCCGGAUUUACUGGGUGUAAAGGGCGUGUAGGCGGGACAUCAAGUCAGAUGUGAAAGCACGAGGCUCAACUUCGUGUCUGCAUUUGAAACUGACGUUCUUGAGUGUUGGAGAGGCUAACGGAACUCCUAGUGUAGCGGUGAAAUGCGUAGAUAUUAGGAAGAACACCAGUGGCGAAGGCGGUUAGCUGGACAAUAACUGACGCUGAGGCGCGAAAGCGUGGGUAGCAAACAGGAUUAGAUACCCUGGUA
rnacentral:rRNA from 1 species